AGAGUAAGUUUAUUUCUACUAUGAUUUAUCAUAGUGAUGCUUUCCUAAUUUUUCUUCUUCAUAUUUUUUUACCCAAAACAAGCUCAGUUAGGGCUUUUUCCUUAGAGCUAAGAUUGUUUACAGUCCCAUAGCUCAGUUGGUUAGAGCGCUACACUGAUAAUGUAGAGGUCCGCAGUUCAAAUCUGCGUGGGACUACACUUGUAUUUGGGGGAUUAGCUCAGCUGGCUAGAGCGCCUGCCUUGCACGCAGGAGGUCAUCGGUUCGACUCCGAUAUUCUCCACAAAUUCACAAAUGAGUGAAUAAUGUUCAUUGACAUCUUGAAAGAAAUUAUAGAAUAAAAUUUAUUGAGUUAGUU
rnacentral:tRNA from 1 species